AUUGAACGCUGGCGGCAGGCCUAACACAUGCAAGUCGAGCGGAUGAAGGGAGCUUGCUCCUGGAUUCAGCGGCGGACGGGUGAGUAAUGCCUAGGAAUCUGCCUGGUAGUGGGGGAUAACGUCCGGAAACGGGCGCUAAUACCGCAUACGUCCUGAGGGAGAAAGUGGGGGAUCUUCGGACCUCACGCUAUCAGAUGAGCCUAGGUCGGAUUAGCUAGUUGGUGGGGUAAAGGCCUACCAAGGCGACGAUCCGUAACUGGUCUGAGAGGAUGAUCAGUCACACUGGAACUGAGACACGGUCCAGACUCCUACGGGAGGCAGCAGUGGGGAAUAUUGGACAAUGGGCGAAAGCCUGAUCCAGCCAUGCCGCGUGUGUGAAGAGGGUCUUCGGAUUGUAAAGCACUUUAAGUUGGGAGGAGGGGCAGUAAGUUAAUACCUUGCUGUUUUGACGUUACCAACAGAAUAAGCACCGGCUAACUUCGUG
rnacentral:rRNA from 1 species